rnacentral:rRNA from 1 species
UACGUAGGGCGCAAGCGUUAUCCGGAAUUAUUGGGCGUAAAGAGCUCGUAGGCGGUUUGUCGCGUCUGCCGUGAAAGUCCGGGGCUCAACUCCGGAUCUGCGGUGGGUACGGGCAGACUAGCGUGAUGUAGGGGGAGACUGGAAUUCCUGGUGUAGCGGUGAAAUGCGCAGAUAUCAGGAGGAACACCGAUGGCGAAGGCAGGUCUCUGGGCAUUAACUGACGCUGAGGAGCGAAAGCAUGGGGAGCGAACAGG